CUCGCGAGAUAGUUGUCACGUGACGUGUUCUCCCGGAAGUACGUCGUGUGCAGCCAGCAAGCCACGAGGAGAGGGUGAAUUUACGAAGGAGUUGUGUCUAUAUAUUAUAUAAAAUCUACUAUUGGUUGAAGAUCAACACAAACCAAAUGAAGAUGUUGUAGAUUCUACAAAUAAAAAAGAAGGUGAUGGCACACAUCAUGACAGUAAACAUCGGUAUCAAGAUGGUGUGAUUGAUCUAUACCCUAGAAUAAGCUGUGACACUGAUGCUGUGGUCACAUAAUGAACAGCCAUCUUACAGACAACCGAAAGAGUAUUGUCUACAAUCCCAAAUUCUGGAUUGACGAUCCAGUACCAGUGGGCACCCCAAUCCCAGAGAGCAUCCAUCUGAAACCAGGUGAGGUAACACAACGAAAAAAUUACCGGAUGGAGACUACCUGAUUCUUCACCUAUGGCCUCAGCUUCAAAUGCAAGAAGUCCAGCAACUGUCUGAGUUGGUGGAUAUUCUGUCAGAGACUCCGUGGACAACGUUAUGAAUAGGUUAUUUGUCUAAGGUGAAGUAAUCUUACAGUUCUUUCACAGAAUGAUGUGAAAUUGUCUUAUGGCAAAGUUCAAUAUGAAGGGUGGUGGACAUCAGGAAAAGAAGUCUUUUAAAGGCACACCUUUGUAUUAUGUUAUUUAAGAUGCUGUGAAGAGGUGGAGCCCAAAUGCCACCGAAUCGGAAAUAGAUGCAGCUAUGGCAGACCACCUCAAGCACGCUCCUGGAAGAGCUGGGGGUGGUGGAUACAAAAAAGCCUAACAGCUGUGAUGUGUUAAAGAGAGAGUUCACCAAAAAAGGAAAAUUGUUAUAAUUUUCUUAUCCACAUGUUUCAAACCUGUAUACCUUUCUAUUUUCUGCUGAACACAAAGAUUGAAGAAUGUUUGUAACUUCACAACCCAUUAACUGUCAAUAUUUUUUUAUUUACAAUUGUAGUAAUGGGUUGUGAGAUCUGCUUUGUUAAAAACAUUCUUUCAAAUAUCUUUGUGUUCAGCAGAACAUAGAAAGGUAUACAGGUUUGAAACAUGAGAUGGAAUAAAUGACUAAAUAUUAAUUUUUGGGUGAACUAUCCCUUUAUAGAAAGUGUUUUGAAAUUGUUAUUAUAGUUAAAUGGUUGAAAAAUAAAAAGUGCUAAAUCAGAACAUGCUUCUUUUUUGGUUAUGGCGACAAAUAAUGUGUUCUUUAAUGUGUUUGUGAAGUACACGUGGUUAAAACGUUUUAUGGACGUUCAGGUCUGACUGGACCAAUUUUGAACCGAUUUUGAACCUUUGUGAAUAUGUGUUAAACCUCAAUACAAUUGAUUGCCUUUCACGAUGUUACACAGUGGGUGUAUAUUCAUUUUAUAUGCAUACAUUUAAACAAUGCAGCAACACAUUUAAACAUCCAGAAGACGGCACAUUUAGACGUCCAGGGACGGGCAGAAAAGACGUGUAAUUCACGGCCAAAUGACGUCAAAGACGUGCGCUCAACUUUAAUUUAGGGUAUUUUUCAACCGUGAUGGGACGUGACGAAGGGACGUCUUUUCAACGGUCAUAAAACGUCCAAAUGUUUGCUAAUGGGGGCUUAAAACAUAUUUAAACUAUGCAGGAACACAUUUAAACAUCCAAAAGACGGCGCAUUUAGACGUCCAGGGACGUGCAGAAUAGACGUGUAAUUCACGGCCAGAUGACGUCAAAGACGUCGGCUCAACUUUCAUUUUGGAUAUAUUUUUCAACGCGGACGGGACGUGACGAACGGACGUCUUUUCAACGGUCAUCACACGUCC